rnacentral:rRNA from 1 species
GACAGAGGUGCCGAGCGUUAGGCGGAAUCACUGGGCUUAAAGCGUGUGUAGGCGGACCGUUAAGUGUCUUGUGAAAUCCCACGGCUCAACCGUGGAACGGCUGGGCAUACUGGCGGUCUUGAGCGGUCCAGGGGCGAGCGGAACAAGCGGUGGAGCGGUGAAAUGCGUAGAUAUCGCUUGGAACGCCGACGGUGAAAACAGCUCGCUGGGGACCCGCUGACGCUGAGACACGAAAGCCAGGGAAGCGAACGGG